CAGGCNNGCAACUUACCCACUCCCGGCACGGGGAGGUAGUGACGAAAAAUAACAAUACGGGACUCAUCCGAGGCCCCGUAAUUGGAAUGAGAAUACUCUAAACCCUUAAACGAGUAUCCAUUGGAGGGCAAGUCUGGUGCCAGCAGCCGCGGUAAUUCCAGCUCCAAUAGCGUAUAUUAAAGUUGUUGCGGUUAAAAAGCUCGUAGUUUGAAAUGUGUCCCACGCUGUCGGUUCACCGUUCGUCGGUGUUAACUGGCAUGUCCGUGCGGACGUCCUGCCGGUGGAUGCGGUCGGCCGUGGGCCUCUGGUCUGCGUGUCGGCGGUCCGAGUGAAUCCUACCGCGGUGCUCUUCACCGAGUGUCGAGGUGGGCCGGCACGUUUACUUUGAACAAAUUAGAGUGCUUAAAGCGGGCAGUGUUGCGCCUGAAUCUUGUGUGCAUGGAAUAAUGGAAUAGGACCUCGGUUCUAUUUUGUUGGUUUUCGGAACUAGAGGAAAUGAUUAAAAGGAACAAAUGGGGGCAUUCGUAUUGCGACGUUAGAGGUGAAAUUCUUGGAUCGUCGCAAGACGGACAUAAGCGAAAGCAUUUGCCAUAGGUGUUUUCAUUAAUCAAGAACGAAAGUUAGAGGUUCGAAGGCGAUCAGAUACCGCCCUAGUUCUAACCAUAAACGAUGCCAGCCAGCGAUCCGCCACAGUCCCUCCGAUGACUCGGUGGGCAGCUUCCGGGAAACCAAAGCUUUUGGGUUCCGGGGGAAGUAUGGUUGCAAAGCUGAAACUUAAAGGAAUUGACGGAAGGGCACCACCAGGAGUGGAGCCUGCGGCUUAAUUUGACUCAACACGGGAAACCUCACCAGGCCCGGACAUCGGAAGGAUUGACAGAUUGAGAGCUCUUUCUUGAUUCGGUGGAUGGUGGUGCAUGGCCGUUCUUAGUUGGUGGAGUGAUUUGUCUGGUUAU
rnacentral:rRNA from 1 species